AACAUGGAAACUGGCAGGCUUCUCCGCCAACGGCCAAUCGUCCUAACGACGUCGUGGAAAGACCUUUGACUCCUGUCAACCCACUGUUGCUCGUGCUGGUUCCUCUUUUACGAGGUAGCCUUAUAAAUCUAGAUUCUCCUGGAACGUUGCUGAUCCAUUAACCCGGCUCCGCGUGCCCGGUUGUGGCCCUAGAAUCCCGUCGCUUAACCUCGAAGUUAUCCUCCGAUCAAAUUCAAAUUCUACUUCCAGAAACCACUUCAUCCUCUCCUCCCCUCUCUCCGAUCCCUCCGUCUUCGCAAACUGAAUCAAAGGUCUGCCUUCAGAAUUUCUUUCCGGAUUGUUCGUCUUAUUUCUCCAAACAAACCCUAAGCAAAGCCAGUUUUUGCUUACGGUUCAUCGGAAUUUAUUUUGCCGUAAAAGUUGACGAGGACUUGGAAACGUGGUUGUUUUGUUACGUUUUGUUAGCUGCUGAGGUACUAUGGAGAAUGUGUACUCUCAUGAAGGCUCUGGCACAAGCCAUGUUUCUGGAGAAGGUUCAGAUGCAACUAUAGAGCUCAAUAUCAAGACUUUAGAUUCACAGAUUUAUAGUUUUCAGGUUGACAAAAAUAUGCCAGUUUCCGUAUUCAAGGAGAAAAUAGCAAAUGAAAUCAGUAUACCUGUGAGUCAGCAUCGGCUGAUUUUCAGGGGAAGGGUUUUGAAGGAUGAACAUCUCCUUUCCGAAUAUCAAGUGGAAAAUGGGCAUACACUGCACGUGGUUGCAAGGCAGCCUGCCCAACCACAACCUUCAGCUGGUACAAGCUCUGGGGAUACAAUGGGGAAUAAUAGUAAUCAGGUAAACGAUGCAAGCGCUAGUGCGCCUCGAAAUCGCAGUGGGCAGUUAUCUCACAGUGUGGUUCUUGAGACAUUUAAUGAUGGGGACCAAGGGGAAGGCAUUGUUCCGGAUGUCUCUCGGGUUAUUGGGGCUGUUCUAAACUUGUUUGGAGUUAGUGGCCAGACAGCAACCAGCAGCAUAGGUGGCAUGCAAUCAUCAAAUAUGCCAAAUUUUACUGGUCUAGCUUCUCAGGGAAGUGAAACUGGUGGAUCUCGUGGCAAUGUUGGUGGUCAGAGCUCUGCAGGAAAUCAAACACGAUCUGGCCAGCCAUUUCAAUCAGCACCUCAAGUUGUGCAAAUUCCUCUGUCUGCAGCUAUACCUGUUCCUUCACUUCAUUCGCCAAUUCCUGAUUCUUUGAACACACUUUCCGAGUUCAUUACACGCAUGGAACGGGUGCUAGCUCAAAAUGGUAAUCAGCCAUAUACAUCAACAACAAGCAUGGAAGACCCACCAAGGGUAGAAUUACCUUCCAAUGCACGGGGCUAUCCGACGCCUGAAGCAUUGAGCAUUGUCUUAUGUCAUGCAGCACGGCUUCUCAGUGGUCCUGCAACAACUGCAUUAUCUCAUACUGCAGGAUGCCUGGAACAAAAUGGUUCCUCUACUGAUCCUGCUAUAAGGGGUCAAAUUCAGACAGAAACAAUGCAAGUAGGCCUUGCAAUGCAACAUUUAGGUGCUCUUUUUCUGGAGCUUGGUCGCACAAUCUUGACGCUACGUAUGGGACAACCUCCAAUGGAACCUUCUGUAAAUGCUGGGCCUGCUGUUUAUAUUUCUCCAUCAGGGCCUAAUCCCAUAAUGGUCCAGCCUUUUCCUCUUCAAACCAAUUCCCUUUUUGGUAGUUUGGUUCCGCCAUCGAAUCCCAUGGCAUUCGGUCCUGUUGGUGUUGGAAAUGCUCCAAGGCAUGUAAACAUUCAUAUACAUGCUGGGACCUCGCUGGCAUCUGUUAUUCCAACCAUAGGUACCAGGACAAGCGGUACAGGGAUACAGGGAGAACAUGGUAAUGCUGCUGGUUUGGGUGUUUCAGGCCCAGAGCAGCCGCUGCCAGCAAGAAAUGUUGUUGCAGCAACAGUCCCUUCACCCUCAGCAGGUGUUACAGUUGCUGCACAACCUGGUCUUGGGCUUUCAAAUUCACAGCCAUCUUCUGAUUCCAUGUCAUUAAGCUCUAUAAUGAGCGGAAUAAACUCGCAACUGAGACAACUUGCUGGCAAUAGGCAAGGAGGAAACCAGCCCGCAUCAGGCUCUGCUGGAUCUGUAGCAGGUAAUAAUCCAAUAAACUUACAGAUGAAUAGCACUGUGGUGAAUGGAGCUGGGGAAUCUAAUGUGUCAUUACCUGGAGUUAUGUCAGAAUGCCAUGACCAGAAGGCUCAAGUACAUGACAAUGAUCCUUUGAGCUUGAAAGACAUACCAUCUCCUUCAGUGGGCGUAUCGUCUUCUUCAGUGAACAUACCAUCAUCUUCAGUGAAUAUAUCAUCUUCUUCAGUGGAAUGUCCUACUGUAGAAACUUCUCAGAAGUCUCAAGAUACUUCUCAUAGUGCUUCCAGUUCCAGCACUAAAGCUGUUCCACUUGGUUUGGGUUUGGGGAGCUUGGACCGCAAGAGACGAACCAAGCAGCCAAACUCACGUGGUAGUGGUGAUAGUGGAACAACCAAUACCCAUUUCAAUCGGAACCCAGAAGCUGGAAUCAGUGGCCAACAGCUUUUACAGUCUCUUGCAUCUCGCAGCUCUAGUACAAAUAGGACUGGUGCACAUGACACACCCCCAGAUCCUGUAGCCCCCCUUCAUGGGCAGGUCAUGGAGGGUAGACAACCAAGAGAUUUAAGUGCUGAUGGCCAGUUUGACAGUGCUAGUGCUAUGUCUCAGGUUCUACGUAGUCCUGUUAUGAAUAAUUUGUUUGCAGGGAUUUCAGAACAAACCGGUGUUGGUUCUCCCAAUGUCUUGAGGAACAUGUUGCAACAGCUCACUCAGAAUCCCCAAAUAAUGAAUACUGUCAGUCAGAUUGCUCAGCAGGUUGACAGCCAAGAUCUAGGAAAUAUGUUCUCAGGUUUAGGCAGUGGCCAAGGCGGCGGAUUUGAUCUGUCAGGGAUGGUCCAACAAAUGAUGCCUGUUGUUUCCCAGGUUCUUGGCCAUGGAUCGCCUACUCCCCAGCUGUUUCCUACCCCAGAAUCUGAACCCCAGAAGAGAUCCAAUGAGAGGGAAUCAAUUGGAGCUGAAAAUCCUAAUGAUAAUAACAUUCAGAUCAACCUCCACGAAGUGGCUCAGAGGAUUGAACAGUUUGCUGCACCUCAAGAUGUAUUUCAAGCCAUUGUUGGCAAUGCAGUGAGGUUGAGUGGCAAUGGAAGCAAUGCUGAAGAUAUUCAGCAUGAAUUGAACAACAAUGAGGAUUUAGCGAGUAGUUAUGUAGAGAUGCUGCAGCGUGAUAUUCAGCGGCGACUUCAGGAUGACUAUGGGGAGGACAAGUGCUAACCAUUCUGUAUUGAAAUGGUUCUGAUAUUUCUCAUGUGAUACAGAUCCAAACAAAUUUCGGGAUAUGAUCACCUCUGCUGGGUCACCUUCAAAUUAAUCUUUCUGUCUGUUGAAUGUUGUACAAAAUCGAGCUUUGGGCUUGAGGUGCUCCAAAUUAUAGGUUGUUGGCAGUUUCGGCUUGAAUUGCUGCUAGUUAGCAUUCCAUGCUUGAAUUCUGUUCGUUUGUGUUCUUUUGGCGGGGAUUCUAUAAUCCUUUUAUAUAUUUUAUUGGUCUUGGAUUUGAAUCGUUUGAUAAAUCUCGGGUUCUAAUUGUCAAUCUCUACGACUAUUCUACUCAUCUUUCCUUGUUCCCGUUUUUUAAUCCACUCGUAAAUGAGGAUGGUCACCAGUCGGUUGAGGUUUUCCUUGUGUUCUGCUCGGGUCAUUUAUGAUUUUGGAUCUUCUUCGCUCGGUUGGAUUUUUAUUUUCUAUAAUAUCUGUAAUAUAUUCAAGUACAAUACAGAUUAUUGCAUGUGA